AUGUCGCCAUUUCUCGGAAAGAGAAAAAAAAAAGUUCUUGCUAUGACAAUUGUAUUUAUCCAAAUUAUUUUUCUUGGAUUUCAGGAGUGCAAUCAACUUCAGCAUGUUGAAGCAUUUCUGAAGCUCACAUCUGAAAUAUCUGAUAAUUGCAAGAAACAUAUACAUAGAAUGGGUUUCAGAAUCUUCAUUCUCAUACUCCUGUCAUUGUUUGUUGCCCCUAAUUCAAGUGGAGUUUCUAGCAAGUUUGUGUAUAGUGCAAUAGUUGACAUUGACAGAAUUUCUCAGUAUGAUUGGUGUCUACUAUGUCUGAGCUACAUGGUUUGUUCAAUAAAGAAAACAAGGCUGAAGAACACAAUAUCCUACUUUGAAUUCCUGAUAAUAACUGAAAUCAAGAUGCCGACUAGAAACAAGACUACCAUUAUGGAUAAAAUCAUUCUUCAAUUGAAAGCUCAAGAUUUCUAUAGAAAUAUCAUUCGGAACACAACUCCUACCAUGAAAACCUAUGCAGAUGACAUCCAUUCUUCAUUUCUGAAAACCAUGACAACUUCCAGCAGCCAAAAUGUGCAAAUUAAACCAACACUUUCAGAGAACACAUUCAAAGUUCCUAUGUCUAAAGAAUUGUUGGCUAUACAAUCACCUCGCAUAUUCCCAAUGCUAGAUGUUCCAACAAUAAUUGAUAAAGAUAAACGAGUCAACAUACAUGAAAUUCUUGAUUCAUUGGUCAAUGAUUUCCCGCAGUCUGUCAACAUAACAAAUCUUGUUGAGCCUAAACUAAAUAAAGGUAGGUUGCUUCCUGAAAUCACAUAUCCAGUUGACAAGUCUCUCAACAGUACACCGCAUGGCAAUUCAAAUGGAGAAGCUGGUUCAAGCACUCAAUACGCACAAUCAGAUUAUCCUUCCUUUGAUGUAAUUACCAAUUCAAUUGACAUAGUACAGAAAGUUCCUUCUAAUUCUCAAAGAAUUGCAUCAGAACAAUCUAAAACUUUUGCAUCUCCUUCGUCUACUCAGUUCAGCCUCCCACCAAGUCAAUAUAACAACCAACAUCAUAAUUAUGCCAACACCAUUGUUCUUCCAAGUGAGAGCCCAAUAAGGAUGAUGGACUUCCUGUCACCAAAAGUAUACCCAAGCACUAUUGGCACACCCCUUGAAGAUCCUUUGUUAGUUCAAGCACUUGAACAACAUGAAACACAUUCCAUAGUAAUCCAAGAUCAGAAGAAUGGAAAUAAGGAGGUCAUUUUUUCAACUGGAAUAGAUAAUGCCUUCUACCAAUCAUUGGUUGGACAUCUUUCCAAGUUAACCUACAGGAAUAAAGACCAGCUCAACCGAGGAAUAAAAGGCCUGCUUCCAAACAGCAAUUUAGUAGAACAUAUAGUUAGCAUUGAUGACAUGGUAAAAGUGCAUGUGUUCAAGGAAAAACAAUGGUACGACUCAGGAAUUUCCCUCCUUAGUAUCUUAGCAAGUACAAAGGUCUCGGAAUGGAAGGUUUCUCCAAUGGACAUGCUAAUCUUCGUCGUCGAAGAUAUCGACGGCAGCGGUGCCGGGCGUCAGCGAGACGGGCGGGUAGGAGGGCUCCGGCUCAUCCUCCUCCUACCCGACCUCAUCCAUGUAGGCAAGCAUCUCCGCCUCCUCCGCGGCCUCCAUCUCCUAGCGGCGACAGCGUCUGGCCUCUGCAGGCGACUCCGAGUGGAGGGAAUCGAGGAUGGUCUGCUGCUCCGCCUGCAGAUGCGCGUCGCAAGCGUCCCCCACAUCCUCAUCCCCCGGCUCAUCCUCUUCCUCCUCCUCCUUCUCCUCCUCCACCUCCUCCUCCUCCUCCGGAUCCACUGCAUCCAGAGAUAG
rnacentral:rRNA from 1 species